AAGCUCGUAGUUGAAUUUCGGGAUCAAAUUGUCGGUCGUGCCUCGGUACGUACUGGCGUUAUUGGUUCCUCCCUUCUGAAGAACCACGAUGUCAUUAAUUUGGUGUCGCGGGGAAUCAGGACUGUUACUUUGAAAAAAUUAGAGUGUUUAAAGCAGGCUCGCGCUUGAAUACAUUAGCAUGGAAUAAUGAAAUAGGACGUUUGAUUCUAUUUUGUUGGUUUCUAGGAUCGACGUAAUGAUUAAUAGGGAUAGUUGGGGGCAUUAGUAUUCAAUUGUCAGAGGUGAAAUUCUUGGAUUUAUUGAAGACUAACUACUGCGAAAGCAUUUGCCAAGGAUGUUUUCAUUAAUCAAGAACGAAAGUUAGGGGAUCGAAGACGAUCAGAUACCGUCGUAGUCUUAACCAUAAACUAUGCCGACUAGGGAUCGGAUGAUGUUAAUUUUUUAAUGACCCAUUCGGCGCCUUACGGGAAACCAAAGUGUUUGGGUUCCGGGGGGAGUAUGGUCGCAAGGCUGAAACUUAAAGGAAUUGACGGAAGGGCACCACCAGGGGUGGAGCCUGCGGCUUAAUUUGACUCAACACGGGGAAACUCACCAGGUCCAGACAUAGUAAGGAUUGACAGAUUGAGAGCUCUUUCUUGAUUCUAUGGGUG
rnacentral:rRNA from 1 species